rnacentral:rRNA from 1 species
CAUGUGGCUUAAUUUGACUCAACGCGGGGAAUCUUACCGGGUCCGGACACACUGAGGAUUGACAGACAUUGUCUUUUUGUCAAAUUAAAAGACAAAAGAUAACAGAUCUUUCAUGAUUAUGUGAUGGGUGGUGCAUGGCCGUUCUUAGUUCGUGGAGUGAUCUGUCUGCUUAAUUGCGUUUCAAAUAUAUUUUAUUAUAUACGAGUCUCAAAGGAGUGGUUCAUUAACAGACAAUCUAUCUUUGAGGUCUGGAAUCUACUCUAUUUGGCUCAUUGAACGCACGGACGUGAUCGCGAGUCCUUGUUGAACUUCGUAUAUAUUGACUUUCCCCGUAGGAAGGGAUUGGCAAUAAUUGAAUGUUCGCUU